UUCGUAUAUCACAGGUUCCUACACCACUUAAAAAAGAAGGUGAAAAAUCGGGCUCAUCUUGAGGCAUCUGUUGUUGAGGCAUACCUAGUAGAAGAAAUGUCAACUUUUUGCUCUUUGUAUUUUGACCAACAUGUUGAAACAAGGUUGAAUCAUGUGUUGAGAAAUGAUGAUGGAGGUUUUGUCAAUCCUAAAUGACGACUAUCAAUUUUUACUCACCUUGGACGAUCCUUUCGCGUUCAACGUCGUAAUGUCAGAUUAAUGACAACUGAGGAAUUCAGAGCAGCUUCAAUGUAUGUUCUCUUGAAUUGAGAGGAAGUAAUCCCUUUUGUGGUGUAAGUUGUUAUAAUUACAUUUGAAAUAUAUGUGUUGAAUUGUAGAGUUGUUAGCUGCAUUAUAGUUUUUCACUUUCAUGUAGGAAGCUUGAUAAACACAGGAGAACAUUGUAUCCCCAAAUUUCUAAUGCACAAUUUAAUGGUUUACGCGAGGAACAUUUUUCACGUUGGUUGAGGAAAUACGUAAGUGAUUAUGCAAAUAUUGUCUCCACUGCCUACAAAGUAUUUGAUAAAAUGAGUUCUAAUACACAUUAUUUCUUCUGUUCAGGUUUUGGAUGAUCAUAAUGCAGUUGAUAAUCGCAUUAAGGCUUCUCAUAUAAUGAAAUGUUAUAAUGAAUACUUUGUCAAUGGUUUUGAGUUUCACACUUUAGACUAUGGUCCGAACAAAGCAACAAUGAAUAGUGGUGUUUGCGUACUGGGAAGUUGUCAUAAUGAUAAUGAGGGUGACUACUAUGGUAGGUUAAUUGAAAUAUUAGAACUAAAUUAUUUAGGGGAUAUUGUAAACAAGAUUAUUUUAUUCCAGCGUGAUUGGUUUGACACCAAUGGUGGGGUUAGAGUCCAUCGAAGAUUCAAUCUCGUCGAGCUUAUUCAUAAGAAGAAACUACCAUUAAAUGAUGUAUUUAUACUUGCUCAACAAGUAUAUUACACGUGUUUUCCUACAAAUGCUAGAGAUAGAGUUGAUUGGUGGGUGGUUGUGAAAACAAAAGCAAUAAAUGUUCCCAAUAUACAAGGAAUCAUAUUGGAGAAUGAAGAGUGUAAUGUGUGAGUGGAACUUGCAUUCCAAGAGGAUCAACCAUUGUCUACCCAGUAACUUGUUCGAAUAUCAACGUUCGAUCGCCGAAAUUUAGCUUGUGAUGAUGUCGGCGCUGAAGAAGUAGUCUGGUUUGACUCUAGGAUGUCCAAUAUAGAAGUAGAAGAAAAUGUGGAACUAGAUUACGUUGAUAGUAGUGAUGGUUUCACGACAAGUGCAAGUAAAGGAGAAAAUUGUAUUCUUAUUAUUCUUUUGGUUUUUAGUUCAUUUGUUAGUUUUAUGUCAUUGUUCAUAUUUUUCAUGGACUUAAGAGCCUCACCUUGCAGUAGGAAAGUGUUCGUUGUUGGGACGGGUUCAAACUGGACUGAAGGGAGGAGGAAUUUAAUACUUCGAUCUUCCUGGGUAUUCAUCACUGGCUAGGGCUUUUGCAGGAUAACAUUUAACCAGUAUAUGAGAAAGAGAAUGGUGGCCAGACUGGAGAAGGGUGCUACAUGAGGAGCUGUGAUGUUUCAAGUACCUAAAUUUUAGCAAUUGAGUGAUUUUGAGAAAUGGUGAUUCAAGAAUCCAAUUAUGGCGAUCUGCACUGCAGCCAAGCCCAUGUCAAAUCCCAGCAGAAAUCUCCUAACUAAACUUGCUAGUACCCAUUCUCUACGUGUUUAAAUUGGACCCCUUGUAUCUGUUCGAUAAUAAUGAAUUUAUGUGCUGAGUGCUACCUUGAAUUCAUGCUGGACACAAUUUGUUUUGUUGGCACUCCUUGUAUCUUGGUGCACAAUCUUGUAUUCUAUUUGAGACCUCUACUGCCUUGGACGUUUUAAUGUUAUUUCUUUAGUUGGUUUGUUAAUAAUUUGAUGUUGUGGCUUUCAAAGUCUAGCAAAGUUUACUAUUACCAUGGUACUUAGACACAUUCUGUUGUGUAGAGUAAGC
rnacentral:lncRNA from 1 species